CUUUUGUGAUGUUUAGGCCGGGCAUCGCGGCCACGUUGCGUAGGAUCUCGAACCUAGACAAGCGCAACGUGGUUACCACCAUAUGGUGUCGUUCGCAUUGCGACGAAGACACCAGGUACCGGCCGAACAGGAAAUCCAAGCACCCGGACCCGACGAUUUGGAUCAAGACCCUGUCCCAGAACACCAAAGUGCCAAUGAUUUGGAUCAUGACUCCGAUCCCAAAACACCGAGCAGCCGAGGAUUUGGAUCCUGACCCUGACCCAAAGCGAGAAGGAGCCGACGAUUUGGAUCAACACCCUGAUCCCAAGCACCAUGGAGCCGACGAUUUGGAUCAAGACCUACAUCCCAAGCACAAGGUGCCUGGUUGAUAUGGAUCGCGAUCCCGAUCCGGAGCUCCAGGGCGCCGAGGAUUUCGAUCACGAUCCCGAUCUGAAGCACCGAGUAGCCGAGGAUAUGGAUCAAGACCCCGGUCCGAAGCGACAAGGAGGCAAGGAUUUGGAUCACCACUCCGAUCAAAGGCACCAAGGCGUCGAGGGAUUGGAUCGAGAUCCCGAUCCCAAUCAUGAUGUUGGCUAUGUAAUUUCCCGUUUUCCACACCGUUCAGGGCAUUUUGGUGGUCGUAUCGGCUUUUAGUUGCUUGCUUGGUGAUAGUGCCAAGGGAGUGGUUGGAAGCUAGGUCGUCCUCUGGAAUGCUUGUUGUAAAGGUGUAUGAGUUGUGUUUGGUUUGUUACGGGUGUUUGUUGGCUGCUUGUGCAGGAACUUUCAUGCGUCCAAGCCUCUUCAGUUGUGCUACAAGGCCUUGUUUGUCUUGUGCAUACGGUGGGUUUCCUGUGUUGCAUACCUAAUCAAGGGCAUCGUAUGGCUUGAUAGAAGUAAAUAUUCGUAAUGCGCCGCUUGCGGCGUUGCACGAACCUCGAAGUGGUCUCUGUGGCCCAUGUUGUCUUUGCUCAUGCAUGGAUGGCAUGGCCCUCGGAGCGUCGCUUGGUCUCUUGGAUACGGAACCUGAUGAUGUGGGCGGUAGGGUCUUGGAUGAUUCUACCUUCGC
rnacentral:misc_RNA from 1 species